rnacentral:rRNA from 1 species
GAGUUUGAUCAUGGCUCAGAUUGAACGCUGGCGGCAUGCCUUACACAUGCAAGUCGAACGGUAACGCGGGGCAACCUGGCGACGAGUGGCGAACGGGUGAGUAAUACAUCGGAACGUGCCCAGUAGUGGGGGAUAGCCCGGCGAAAGCCGGAUUAAUACCGCAUACGACCUACGGGUGAAAGCGGGGGACCGCAAGGCCUCGCGCUAUUGGAGCGGCCGAUGUCAGAUUAGCUAGUUGGUGGGGUAAAGGCCUACCAAGGCGACGAUCUGUAGCUGGUCUGAGAGGACGACCAGCCACACUGGGACUGAGACACGGCCCAGACUCCUACGGGAGGCAGCAGUGGGGAAUUUUGGACAAUGGGGGCAACCCUGAUCCAGCCAUGCCGCGUGCGGGAAGAAGGCCUUCGGGUUGUAAACCGCUUUUGUCGGGGAAGAAACGGUCUGCGCUAAUACCACGGACUAAUGACGGUACCCGAAGAAUAAGCACCGGCUAACUACGUGCCAGCAGCCGCGGUAAUACGUAGGGUGCAAGCGUUAAUCGGAAUUACUGGGCGUAAAGCGUGCGCAGGCGGCUUUGCAAGACAGAUGUGAAAUCCCCGGGCUCAACCUGGGAACUGCAUUUGUGACUGCAUGGCUGGAGUGCGGCAGAGGGGGAUGGAAUUCCGCGUGUAGCAGUGAAAUGCGUAGAUAUGCGGAGGAACACCGAUGGCGAAGGCAAUCCCCUGGGCCUGCACUGACGCUCAUGCACGAAAGCGUGGGGAGCAAGCAGGAUUAGAUACCCUGGUAGUCCACGCCCUAAACGAUGUCAACUGGUUGUUGGACGGCUUGCUGUUCAGUAACGAAGCUAACGCGUGAAGUUGACCGCCUGGGGAGUACGGCCGCAAGGUUGAAACUUAAAUGAAUUGACGG